AUUCAGGUAGUUUAAUAAAACAUUUCAUUUUCAAUGAAAAGAUAGAAUAUUUCUCCCGAAUA
rnacentral:tRNA from 1 species